UAGUCAUAUGCUUGUCUCAAAGAUUAAGCCAUGCAUGUCUCAGUGUAAACUUUUAAACAGUGAAACUGCGAAUGGCUCAUUAAAACAGUUAUAGUUUAUUUGAUACUCAUUUUUACAUGGAUAACCGUGGGAAUUCUAGGGCUAAUACAUGCGUAAACCCGCAAGGGAUGUGUUUAUUAGAUUAAAACCAUCACUGUAGCAAUACAGUAAAGUUGGAAUGAUAAUAACCGAUCGAAUCGCACGCUUUUGUGGCGAUAAAUCAUUCAAGUUUCUGAC
rnacentral:rRNA from 1 species